AGAUUGAACGCUGGCGGCAUGCCUAACACAUGCAAGUCGAACGGGAGUAGCAAUACUCUAGUGGCGGACGGGUGAGGAAUACGUAGGAAUUUGCCCUUAAGUGGGGGAUAACCCGGGGAAACCCGGAUUAAUACCGCAGUGACCUCGAAAGAGCAAAGUGGGGGAUCGCAAGACCUCACGUCUUUUGGAGAACGCCUACGUCGGAUUAGCUAGUUGGUGAGGUAAUGGCUCACCAAGGCGACGAUCCGUAACUGGUCUGAGAGGAUGAUCAGUCACUACCGGAACUGAGACACGGUCCGACUCCGUACGGGAGCAGCAGGUGGGAAUAGUUGGACAAGUCGGGACGCAAGCCUAGACUCCAGUCAAUCGACCGCGUGUAGUAGAACGACGUCCGUUCGGUAGUAAGACUA
rnacentral:rRNA from 1 species